rnacentral:rRNA from 1 species
GAUGAACGCUGGCGGCGUGCCUAAUACAUGCAAGUCGAGCGAACAGACGAGGAGCUUGCUCCUCUGACGUUAGCGGCGGACGGGUGAGUAACACGUGGAUAACCUACCUAUAAGACUGGGAUAACUUCGGGAAACCGGAUCUAAUACCGGAUAAUAUAUUGAACCGCAUGGUUCAAUAGUGAAAGACGGUUUUGCUGUCACUUAUAGAUGGAUCCGCGCCGCAUUAGCUAGUUGGUAAGGUAACGGCUUACCAAGGCAACGAUGCGUAGCCGACCUGUGAGGGUGAUCGGCCACACUGGAACUGAGACGCGGUCCAGACGCCUAAGGGAGGGAGCAGUAGGGAAUCUUACGCAGUGGGCGAAAGUCUGACGGAGCAAGGCCGCGUGAGUGAUGAAGGCCCUCGGAUCGUAAAACUCUGUUAUUAGGGAAGAACAGAUGUGGACGUAACUAUGCACGUCUUGACGGUACCUGAUCAGAAAGCAACGGCUAACUACGUG